GUGGUCGCUUCAACAGCACAUAUACUAAAAUUGGAAUGAUACAGAGAAGAUUAGCAUGGCCUCUGUGCAAGGAUGACACACAAAUUUGUGAAGCUUUCCAAAUUUUU
ensembl:snRNA U6 U6 spliceosomal RNA